AGGAGUCAGUCAGUCCAUCUUGCUGCUGAUUCAGAUGGGAGAGAUGGAGGAUGGGAGCUGUCAACAGUGGCAACGAUAUGACUGGGUUGGUGAUCAUCUGGGAAUGGUUUAGCAAGGCUGGAAUCAGUCAGAUUUAUCUUUGUGAAGGAUGCAAGAAUCAAGGACAAUGCUCCACGUCACACAGACAGGUCAAUGAAUGUCUGGAUACAGAACCAUCAGAUCAAGACCCUGUCAUGGCAAGUGUCUAAAGGAGUAAGGGAUGCACACAGGAAGAAGUGCACAAAUCUGAAGACCCAGGAUUUCCACUUUGGAUCAACACGAACAUGGAACAACAAGCACAAGAAAUUUUAACCAGCAGUGAAAUGAGAAAAUGUUCUUACUGAUGAUUAUUAUAAACACUUUUUUAAACGCUUAAACUGGUGGAUUAUUGUUAAUGACAGAAGAAAAGUUUAUCAUCACUUUAAGGCCGGUAGCUGGAGAGACUGUUAGAACUGCUUUAUUAUAAAUAUAUUGUAACUAAACGUUUAACAUAUGCAGGUGCUAUAUAAAACUAAACAGAGGCUCUUUAUUUCGCGCUGGAUAAUUUGAAUAACUUAAAGCCUGAACUUGGUGUGUAUUUAGGUGCAAAAAGCAAAAAGCAGUCUGUAUGGGCUCAGAGGAAAUUCGCUGAUUUCAGGUUUGAUCUGAUAGGCGCAAUGCUUUUGACUGACACUUGUUUUGCUUAACAUUGGCCUCAUUGUGGGGCCGCGGCUCUUCUUUCGGGAUCGAGUUGCGCAGUUGCGGUAAAGGCGAGAUGAGCAGCUCGGUUAGCCGGUCAGACGCGGCUUUUUGGGAGCUCAGAGAGCCACCGGAGGAGCUUCGUGCUUUUUUCAACCUAUGCAGAUCUUUAUCCCUCUUCCCCCGUAGAGCUGAACUUUAACCCGACCACUACUGCGCCUGAAAGAGAAACCUUAACGAUAAGUAGAAGAGCUGCGCACUCCAGUCUUUUAAGUUUUGAGUCUAUAAGGUUGGGAUAUAGCUGCGUCCCAAAUCACCCGAACAGGGUAGAGGAGCUAAAAACUACCACUCCUUAAAAACAACUAUUAAUUUAACAGCACUCAUCCACAUUUCCAGCAAACACAACAGUGGUUACAACUUUGUUACAGCAACUUUCGUUAUUUGCAAAGUUGUGUAAAUGUUUAUAGAAGUUUAAAAUAAAACACUUCAAGCAACACGUUUUCAGAUGACCGUUUUACCAGUUUUUAUCAGAAAGCAAACAUGUAAAUGUAAUUUAUUUAAACGUUUUAUUAUUCAAUAGCAAUGAGCCUAUUAAACGUGGAACUGUUCAGGAAAAUAUGAACUGCAGCAGUCACCUGUUUGAAAUCAAAUUUUACGGAGAAAAUACCAUGUUUACCACCUGUCUGUGUGCACGAUUUUUCUUUUAAACUCAUAAUUCGUUACACAAGUUCUCUACAUAGUCUGAUAUGCUCUUCACACUAAGAUAACACCAUAAACAAUAUUUAUAUUCACUUAAAUAUAAGUAAAAAGCAUUUCAUAUAAGAGAUUUAAAUGAAAAUCAAUUACAUGUUCCACAACCACACUG